GGGGCAUUAGCUCAGUUGGUAGAGCGUCUCAAUGGCAUUGAGAAGGUC
rnacentral:tRNA from 1 species